UGGGGGCCGAUAGCUGGUAUCUCUGGGACUCUGGGGAGAUACUCUGCUGACACUCACCCAAGCGACACAGCGACAUAUAGCGCCUGGUGUCUGGUCAUUCCUCUCUCUCCUACCUGAUUGAGCCGGAACACCAGCAGCCUUCACUCAGAGAAGAGAAGGGCUUCACUCAGAGAAGAGAAGAGCUUCAGAGAGAGAAGAGCUUCACUCGGAGAAGAGAAGAGCGUCACUCAGAGAAGAGCUUCACUCAGAGAAGAGAAGUGCUUCAGACAGAGAAGAGCUUCACUCAGAGAAGAGAAGAGCGUCACUCAGAGAAGAGCUUCACUCAGAGAAGAGCUUCUCACAGAGAAGAGAUUCAGACAGAGAAGAACUUCACUCAGCGGAGAGCUUCACUCAUCAGCUUCAUCCCCCGCCCAGCAAAGCCAUCACCAUGGGUCUAUAGAGGGGAUACUGGGACAGAGAAUCAACAUCCUGGACACAGAGGGGUCUUAAUUGACCCGGACCCCCAGUGGUCAGAGGUGGAGAGCUUGAAUCCAUUACUUUAGCUCCACCAGGCUGGCAGCCAGUCCGAAGCCUUUGUCUGUUUUUUCCGGAGCGCCGCGGGAGGAAAGGCAUUCCACGCUGGAAGUAUCCCGCUGGAACCAGGGAACGUUUGUUUGGGUCCGUCUUCCUCUGCCAUUGUUUUGGCGGCGAACUUUGCUCUGGCCAGCGUUGAAACGGCCAUUGUGUCGACCAUGGUGGAAAUGUAUUUAGAGUCCAUGGUUCGAUAUUUAUAGUGUGGUGAACGACAGGUCCCCUAGGGGGCGCGUGUCUCUGUAGCCUCUGCUCUCAUUGGUCCAUCUCCAGUUAUUGCUUGUGAUGUUGAGCAUGCUCUCUAUGCUCACUUUCCUGGCCUCUUCAUUUGUAAUACAUUUUGGUAUUUGCUUAUUGGUUUAACUUUGAAUUGGAUUAUAAUUAAUUACAUAUUUAGCAUAACCCCGUCUAAAAUAUUACCAUUAUUGUCUAUUCAUUAUCUAUAUUUUAUAUCUAUCUAUAUCUAGGUAGAGAUAUACGUCUUAGACUAUAUCUCUAUACAUAAUAUAUAUCAAUUAAUAAUGAUAAUAUUUUACAAACAUAUGAAUACACACGGUAGAUAAUGAGAGGGUAAUGCUAUUUAAUAAAAGGAUGAACUAUGUGUAUUUCAGUCAGUUUUGCAUUUAUUUCAAAGGAUCUUCAUAACAUUAAUGCACACGGUCAUCGGUAUCAACGUACAAAACAGCGGUGUGGGUCUGGCAAAACCACCAUCAAGGCUUAAA